AUGGCAUGGGCGUGGAAAGAAGGCUCGAAAGUGAUACGGAUUGGGAAGCGGCACGGGUAUGUGUUUGUUGUAGAAUGUCUACAUCCCUAAAUUUUAACAUUUUUGGAAUAUAUGGUUUGCCAGUUGUGGAGGUGACCAUAAUAUCCUUGGUUCUUUUGGGUGCGGGCACGAAGAAUGCUUGACUUGCGGGCAAGAUGCGCAACCUCUCACGGCAAUACUAUUAGGAAACCGAUCAACUCUUCGGUGAGCUUGCAUCCGUGGAGUCGAUUCGAGCGUUCGAAUUGUAGUAUUGAACAGCCAUGGCCUCGCAUACGCUGGAGUCCAGAAUGAGCCACUCUAACCCAUUUCUUCUGUAUACACUCUUAAACCUUUCCUUCUCCAGCUAUUUCUAAUUAGACAUUCUUGGCAGGUGAAUGGCGUGGGCGUGGAAAGAAGGCUCGGAAGUGAUACAGAUUCGGAAGCGGCACGGGCACGAAGAAUGCUCGAUUUGCGGGCAAGAUGCGCAACCUCUCGUGGCAAUACUAUAAGGAAGCCGAUCAACUCUUCGAUG